UUAGCAGUCCGCCCCUUCGGGGAGCGGGUUGCUGGCCUCCUAUGUUCCUAACGGUCCUCAUCCGCGAGGGUGGGGAAUCAACCGCUAGGAUCGUUUACUUUGAGGAAAUUAGAGUGUUCAAAGCAGGCGUAACUCGCCUCCGAAUACGUUAGCAUGGGAUAAUGGAAUACGACUUCGGUCUUGUUUCGUUGGUUUCGCUUGGCUGAAGUAAUGAUUGAUAGGGACAGUUGGGGGCAUUAGUAUUUAGUUGUCAGAGGUGAAAUUCUAGGAUUUACUAAAGACUGACCAAUGCGAAAGCAUUUGCCAAGGAUGUUUUCAUUAAUCAAGAACGAAAGUAGGGGGAUCGAAGACGAUCAGAUACCGUCGUAGUCUCUACCGUAAACUAUGCCGACCAGGGAUCCGGAGAGUUUGCAUGGAUGACUCCCCGGGCACCUUGUGAGAAAUCAUAAGUGUUUGGGUUUUGGGGGGAGUAUGGUCGCAAGGCUGAAACUUAAAGGAAUUGACGGAAGGGCACCACCAGGAGUGGAACCUGCGGCUUAAUUUGACUCAACACGGGGAAACUUACGAGGUCAGGACACUGUGA
rnacentral:rRNA from 1 species